UGGUUCCACACCUUGGCAAAAAGGAGAUAAGAACGGUCAGCAAUCCGGUGACAGCAAGGAUGGUUCCACACCUUGGCAAAAAGGAGAUAAGAACGGUCAGCAAUCCGGUGACAGCAAGGAUGGUUCCACACCUUGGCAAAAAGGA
rnacentral:lncRNA from 1 species